rnacentral:rRNA from 1 species
UACAGAGUGAGCAAGCGUUACCCAUCCUAACUGGGUGUAAAGGGUGUGUAGGUGGUUAUUAUAUAGAUGACUAAAUGAAAAUUGCUGUGUUUGGCAGGUGUUUUUAGUACCAAAUAUCUUUGAGAUAUAAAGAGAUUAAUUAGUAUACACAGUGUUACUUAUUUAGGAAAUUGUCUAUCUUGUGGGGACUACCAAUAGCGAAGGCGUUUAAUCUGUUAUAUUCUGACACUGAGGCACGAAAUCGUGGGGAGCAAAAGGG